rnacentral:tRNA from 1 species
UGGCUCAGAUGGUAAAGCAUCUGCCUCCAAUGCGGGAGACCCAGGUUCAAUCCCUGG